AGAUCGUGCCGCAUCCUCGAUACGGUGAAGUUGUUCUAGACAACGACAUCGCUCUCAUAAAGCUCUCCAGCCCUGUAGUCUUUAACCAAUCGUAUAUCGCCCCAGUGUGUCUUCCUGCCCUUGGCCAGAAGUUUGAUAAUGGCACCGCUAUUGUCACGGGAUGGGGCUCUAUAGAAUAUUACGGUGCGAACUCGGAUAAACUGAGGAUGGUCGAGUUGCCCCUCGUGCCACACGAAAUUUGCUCGAAAACGUACUCCCCUUAUGUGACUGAGAUAUGAUCUGCGCUGGUUUUGAAGGAGGGAGGAAAAGAUGCUUGUCAGGGCGACUCCGGUGGUCCUAUGGUAGUCGAUGAUGGUUCUGGCAGCUACUUACUGGCAGGUUUGGUUUCGUGGGGAAUGGGGUGCGCCACGCCUGACCGCCCGGGAGUCUAUACGAAUGUGGCCAGUGGGUAGUGGUUGUGUUUUUGUGU